rnacentral:rRNA from 1 species
UACGUCGGGGGCAAGCGUUGUCCGGAAUCAUUGGGCGUAAAGAGCGUGUAGGCGGCCCGAUAAGUCCGCUGUGAAAGUCCAGGGCUCAACCCUGGGAUGCCGGUGGAUACUGUCGGGCUCGAGUCCGGAAGAGGAGUGUGGAAUUCCUGGUGUAGCGGUGAAAUGCGCAGAUAUCAGGAGGAACACCAAUGGCGAAGGCAGCACUCUGGGACGUGACUGACGCUGAGGCGCGAAAGCGUGGGGAGCGAACAGG